rnacentral:rRNA from 1 species
AGUGAACGCUGGCGGUAGGCCUAACACAUGCAAGUCGAACGGCAGCACAGUAAGAGCUUGCUCUUACGGGUGGCGAGUGGCGGACGGGUGAGGAAUACAUCGGAAUCUACUUUUUCGUGGGGGAUAACGUAGGGAAACUUACGCUAAUACCGCAUACGACCUACGGGUGAAAGCAGGGGAUCUUCGGACCUUGCGCGAUUGAAUGAGCCGAUGUCGGAUUAGCUAGUUGGCGGGGUAAAGGCCCACCAAGGCGACGAUCCGUAGCUGGUCUGAGAGGAUGAUCAGCCACACUGGAACUGAGACACGGUCCAGACUCCUACGGGAGGCAGCAGUGGGGAAUAUUGGACAAUGGGCGCAAGCCUGAUCCAGCCAUACUGCGUGGGUGAAGAAGGCCUUCGGGUUGUAAAGCCCUUUUGCUGGGAAAGAAAAGCAGCAGGUUAAUACCCCGCUGUUCUGACGGUACCCAAAGAAUAAGCACCGGCUAACUUCGU